rnacentral:rRNA from 1 species
GAUGAACGCUGGCGGCGUGCCUAAUACAUGCAAGUCGAGCGAACAGACGAGGAGCUUGUUCCUCUGACGUUAGCGGCGGACGGGUGAGUAACACGUGGAUAACCUACCUAUAAGACUGGGAUAACUUCGGGAAACCGGAGCUAAUACCGGAUAAUAUAUUGAACCGCAUGGUUCAAUAGUGAAAGACGGUUUUGCUGUCACUUAUAGAUGGAUCCGCGCCGCAUUAGCUAGUUGGUAAGGUAACGGCUUACCAAGGCAACGAUGCGUAGCCGACCUGAGAGGGUGAUCGGCCACACUGGAACUGAGACACGGUCCAGACUCCUACGGGAGGCAGCAGUAGGGAAUCUUCCGCAAUGGGCGAAAGCCUGACGGAGCAACGCCGCGUGAGUGAUGAAGGUCUUCGGAUCGUAAAACUCUGUUAUUAGGGAAGAACAAAUGUGUAAGUAACUAUGCACGUCUUGACGGUACCUAAUCAGAAAGCCACGGCUAACUACGU